GCUGUAACUUGGUGGCAGAGCAUCUGCUUUGCAUGCAAGAGGUUCCAGGUUCAAUCCCCAGCAUCUCCA